rnacentral:rRNA from 1 species
GAUGAACGCUAGCGGCAGGCUUAACACAUGCAAGUCGAGGGGUAUAUUUCUUCGGAGAUAGAGACCGGCGCACGGGUGCGUAACGCGUAUGCAAUCUGCCUUUUACAGAGGGAUAGCCCAGAGAAAUUUGGAUUAAUACCUCAUAGUAUAACAUGACCGCAUGGUCGAGUUAUUAAAGUCACAACGGUAAAGAUGAGCAUGCGUCCCAUUAGCUAGUUGGUAAGGUAACGGCUUACCAAGGCAACGAUGGGUAGGGGUCCUGAGAGGGAGAUCCCCCACACUGGUACUGAGACACGGACCAGACUCCUACGGGAGGCAGCAGUGAGGAAUAUUGGACAAUGGGCGCAAGCCUGAUCCAGCCAUGCCGCGUGCAGGAUGACGGUCC